rfam:Myotis davidii contig152394, whole genome shotgun sequence.
GGAGGUUCUCAGGUGACGCAUCCCGGACUUGGGCUUUCUCCUGUCUGGUUCCGGAUGCAUUACCCGAGAACCACA